AUGUCUACCUCAGAGGUUUCCGAGAGUGCUGAUUCCAUGGAUGAGGAUAUGAGUCAAGUACCACGUGUUAGAAGGUCCAAGGUGUGGGAGCAUUAUGAACAAGAUCUGGUUCGCAUACAUGGUGAUCUGAAGGCUGUGUGCAAAUAUUGUGGGACACAACUUCACACCAAGUUUGGGACUACGAGUUUGAGAACCCAUAUUGCAGAGUCUUGCAUAUCAAUUGAGGAUGGUUGCAGGAAGAAUUUUCUGUUGACUAUGAAAAAAACAAAUUCCGAAGGCCCGUUUGUGUUUGGUCAAAAAGUUUGUCGUGAUCUCAUGGUCAAGUUUUGCAUCCAUGCUGAGAUCCCCUUUCUUAAGUUUGAAGAUCCAUACCUUCACCCAUGGAUUGACUCAAUGUAG
rnacentral:rRNA from 1 species